UAGAAAUCUACAUGUGGGGAUGGAAAUGGCGACACACACAUCUAGGAUGUGUGCGUGUGUCGUGAGAAGCCAAGGAAGAAGUGGAAGGAGAAAUUCCAAAAAUUGCAUGUAUGAUAUUUAUCAUCUUUUAAGCAUCAAGGUUAAAAGAGCUUAAAUGUGCAAAAGGAAUAAAAAUACAGCAAAAACCAACAUAAAUGUAAAGAAGAAGGAAUUGACGCAACUCGCCAAGCCCCGAUUCACAUCCAAACCACAAAAUAGCAAGAACAGAAGACUUGAUACGGGGUCGUGUCCACCAGACACGGGCCGUGUCCGAAGGUGGAUGCUGUGCAGAAGAAAAGACAACUGCAAAAGACAAAACUGGCAGUCGACACGGGGUCGUGCUAAGCCAACACGGGGCGUGGUCAACUCAAAGAUUUUCAUAAUCAGCGAUAGUACAGCAAGGACUUUGGCCACGGGCCUUGCCGUUGACACACGGGGUCGUGUUAGUACAAGAUCUGACAAACAGUUAAUGAGAAAGAAGGAGAGAAAUGACCACGGGGUCGUGCCAGGCGGGCACAGGCCGUGGUGGAGCUUCUGAUUUCAGCUAUAAAUAGAAGUGCUUGGUUCCACUUCAAACCAUCCCUUGGCAAACCACUUCUCUCUCACUUGCCACCAUUCCACCACCACUACAACACCAUCAUCCACCACCAUCAUCCAUUUUCCAUAUUUUAGAGUGUGUGUGUAGUCUCGGGAUCCAUGAUUGAUAGUACGAAUCUUUGUCAAACAAAGGCCAUGCUUGGCUAAAUUCUUACAUCACUUGGUGAAGACAUAUCUUUUAUGUAUUUCUUUUUUGAUUUUCAAUCUUUGGCAUCUUUUUAAUUGGGUAUGUAUUAAUUACUUUAAAAUGAAGCUUUGAGAUAUUUUUUUAA